rnacentral:tRNA from 1 species
GGCCCUAUGGCGCAACGGUAGCGCGUUCGACUCCAGCUCAGGAGUGCUCAGUUGAGGCAAAUCGAAAGGUUAUCCGUUCAAAUCGGGUUGGGGUCA